GGGACUUUGAGCCCCCCUUCAUGGGCGUGC
rnacentral:sRNA from 1 species